rnacentral:rRNA from 1 species
UACAGAGGGUGCAAGCGUUAAUCGGAAUUACUGGGCGUAAAGCGUGCGUAGUCGGUUAUUUAAGUCAGAUGUGAAAGCCCCGGGCUUAACCUGGGAAUGGCAUUUGAGACUGCAUAGCUAGGGUGCGGAAGAGGGAAGCGGAAUUUCCGGUGUAGCAGUGAAAUGCGUAGAUAUCGGAAGGAACACCAGUGGCGAAAGCGGCUUCCUGGUCCAGCACCGACGUUCAGGCACGAAAGCGUGGGGAGCAAACAGG